rnacentral:rRNA from 1 species
UACGUAGGGGGCAAGCGUUGUCCGGAAUUAUUGGGCGUAAAGAGCGUGUAGGCGGUCCGGUAAGUCAGCUGUGAAAGUCCAGGGCUCAACCCUGGGAUGCCGGUCGAUACUGUCGGGCUAGAGUCCGGAAGAGGCGAGUGGAAUUCCCGGUGUAGCGGUGGAAUGCGCAGAUAUCGGGAGGAACACCAAUGGCGAAGGCAGCUCGCUGGGACGUUACUGACGCUGAGACGCGAAAGCGUGGGGAGCAAACAGG